AGCACUCCCUUUCUGGCACAAGAUGUUCCGAGCUCAUCUUGUACUUUCCCUGCUCCAGCCCUAGAAUAAGCCAUUUCUCCAAAGAGCCCUGGAUCCUUUAGUGGGGAGUGGUAUUUAGAAACCAAUAACGAUGGGGACUAGCGGUUACCGUCCUCAUCCCUCUGGGGCUCCAACGCUCAGCUUUUCCUGAUAGAAGUGUGUGAAAGACAAGGUUAGAUGUGCCUCUGAUCACAGUAAAUGUUCUUCUUGCAGCACCUGAUGCCUCCCCCAGGCUCUCCAGUCACUCUGGCAUUGAUCGCUACAAAGCCACUUCACUCCCUGUGUUGUAAAACCUCAGGCCAGACUGAGACUUUUCCUGGUGAUGAGGAUCAAGGCUGCCCCAGGGAGAGAAGCCCAAGGCGUCCUGGCCCACAUGCCAAUCUAUAUCAUCCUCCGGGAAGCACAGGACGUCUGACAUGAUCCGACCUGAUUCGUAUCCAGAGUUAUAGAACCACCCAAUAACCAGACCCCACCUGCACUGACACAAUUUUAACGACUUUUUUACAUGAUCUUUCCUUUGUCUUGUAAAGAAAUAACUCACAUACCCAUGCCUUAUAAAUUGAGCCCUGCCCUCAACCCAUUGCAGCUCUUCACUGCCCAUGGGGCCUGUCCUCAUGCUAUUCUCUGAAUAAAGGAGCACUACUACCAGACCCUGAGAGUCCG
rnacentral:lncRNA from 1 species